rnacentral:rRNA from 1 species
UACCUCAGUAACGGCGAGUGAAGCGGUAAUAGCUCAAAUUUGAAAUCUGGUUCGCUUGCGAAUCCGAGUUGUAAUUUGUAGAGGAUGCUUUGGGCGCGGUCACGGUCUAAGUUCGCUGGAAUGCGACGUCAUAGAGGGUGAGAAUCCCGUCUGGGCCCGCCGACCAAGCCCGUGUAAAGCUCCUUCGACGAGUCGAGUUGUUUGGGAAUGCAGCUCAAAAUGGGUGGUAAAUUUCAUCUAAAGCUAAAUAUUGGCCAGAGACCGAUAGCGCACAAGUAGAGUGAUCGAAAGAUGAAAAGCACUUUGAAAAGAGAGUUAAACAGCAUGUGAAAUUGUUAAAAGGGAAGCGCUUGCAACCAGACUUGGCUGCGGGGGUUCAACCGACGUUCUCGUCGGGGCACUCCCCCGUGGACAGGCCAGCAUCGGUUCUAGCGGCUGGUCAAAGGCCCUAGGAAUGUACCAUCUUCGGAUGACUUAUAGCCUAGGGUGCAAUGCAGCCUGCCGGGACCGAGGAACGCGCUUCGGCUCGGAUGCUGGCGUAAUGGUCGUAAGCGACCCGUCUUGAAACACGGACCAAGGAGUCGACCAACUGUGCGAGUGUUUGGGUGUCAAACCCCAGCGCGUAAUGAAAGUGAACGGAGGUGAGAACCCCUUGGGGCGCAUCAUCGACCGAUCCUGAUGUCUUCGGAUGGAUUUGAGUAAGAGCAUAGCUGGUCGGACCCGAAAGAUGGUGAUCUAUGCCUGAAUAGGGUGAAGCCAGAGGAAACUCUGGUGGAGGCUCGCAGCGGUUCUGACGUGCAAAUCGAUCGUCAAAUUUGGGUAUAGGGGCGAAAGACUAAUCGAACCAUUGGUAACACCUACUAGGUGGUUAAGAGGUAGCUGAAAAGGCCUACCUAGUCCGGCUCUCCCGGGCGACACUGUCAAAUUGCGGGGACCUCCUAAAGACGCUGCUACUAAGCCAGGGCCGAAAGGCGCCUGGUGGCCGGGGUAAUGACCUAGGGUAUAGUAAAAACGCAGCGUAUGAGCCACCUCGGUGGUGAAAUGGACAAUCCGCAGCCAAGUCCUACCACUAGCCUGCUAGUCAUGGAUGCAGUUCACAGACUAAAUGUCAGUGGGUUCACUCCCCGGAGUGGGCUUAAAAUAUAGUCGGGCCCCCUCGAGAGAGGGCCGGCGGAAUGAAGCAAUCCCCUAGCGAGAGCUGGCACUUCG